rnacentral:rRNA from 1 species
UACGAAGGGGGGCGAGCGUUGUUCGGAAUUACUGGGCGUAAAGGGCGCGUAGGCGGCGACUCAAGUUAGAUGUGAAAGUCCUGGGCUUAACCUGGGGGACUGCAUUUGAUACUGGGUUGCUUGAAUUCGGGAGAGGAUAGCGGAAUUCCCAGUGUAGAGGUGAAAUUCGUAGAUAUUCGGAAGAACACCAGUGGCGAAGGCGGCUCACUGGACCGGCAUUGACGCUGAGGUGCGAAAGCGUGGGGAGCAAACAGG